rnacentral:rRNA from 1 species
AGAGUUUGAUCCUGGCUCAGGACGAACGCUGGCGGCGCGCCUAACACAUGCAAGUCGAACGGAGCUUAAAGAGCUUGCUUUUUAAGCUUAGUGGCGAACGGGUGAGUAACGCGUGAGUAACCUGCCCUAGAGUGGGGGACAACAGUUGGAAACGACUGCUAAUACCGCAUAAGCCCACGGUACCGCAUGGUACUGAGGGAAAAGGAUUUAUUCGCUUUAGGAUGGACUCGCGUCCAAUUAGCUAGUUGGUGAGGUAACGGCCCACCAAGGCGACGAUUGGUAGCCGGACUGAGAGGUUGAACGGCCACAUUGGGACUGAGACACGGCCCAGACUCCUACGGGAGGCAGCAGUGGGGGAUAUUGCACAAUGGGGGAAACCCUGAUGCAGCGACGCCGCGUGGAGGAAGAAGGUUUUCGGAUUGUAAACUCCUGUCGUUAGGGACGAUAAUGACGGUACCUAACAAGAAAGCACCGGCUAACUACGUGCCAGCAGCCGCGGUAAAACGUAGGGUGCAAGCGUUGUCCGGAAUUACUGGGUGUAAAGGGAGCGCAGGCGGGAAGACAAGUUGGAAGUGAAAACCAUGGGCUCAACCCAUGAAUUGCUUUCAAAACUGUUUUUCUUGAGUAGUGCAGAGGUAGAUGGAAUUCCCGGUGUAGCGGUGGAAUGCGUAGAUAUCGGGAGGAACACCAGUGGCGAAGGCGGUCUACUGGGCACCAACUGACGCUGAGGCUCGAAAGCAUGGGUAGCAAACAGGAUUAGAUACCCUGGUAGUCCAUGCCGUAAACGAUGAUUACUAGGUGUUGGGGGAUUGACCCCCUCAGUGCCGCAGUUAACACAAUAAGUAAUCCACCUGGGGAGUACGACCGCAAGGUUGAAACUCAAAGGAAUUGACGGGGGCCCGCACAAGCAGUGGAGUAUGUGGUUUAAUUCGAAGCAACGCGAAGAACCUUACCAGGUCUUGACAUCCGAUGCAUAGCACAGAGAUGUGUGAAAUCCUUCGGGACAUCGAGACAGGUGGUGCAUGGUUGUCGUCAGCUCGUGUCGUGAGAUGUUGGGUUAAGUCCCGCAACGAGCGCAACCCUUAUCUUUUGUAGCCAGCGGUCAGGCCGGGCACUCUAGAGAGACUGCCAGGGAUAACCUGAGGAAGGCGGGGAUGACGUCAAAUCAUCAUGCCCCUUAUGACUUGGGCUACACACGUGCUACAAUGGCGUAAACAAAGGGAAGCAAAGCUGUGAAGCCGAGCAAAUCGCAAAAAUAACGUCUCAGUUCGGACUGUAGUCUGCAACCCGACUACACGAAGCUGGAAUCGCUAGUAAUCGCAGAUCAGAAUGCUGCGGUGAAUACGUUCCCGGGUCUUGUACACACCGCCCGUCACACCAUGGGAGUUGGGAAUGCCCGAAGCCAGUGACCUAACCGAAAGGAAGGAGCUGUCGAAGGCAGGCCCGAUAACUGGGGUGAAGUCGUAACAAGGUA